rnacentral:rRNA from 1 species
CUACGGGACGCUGCAGUGAGGAAUAUUGCACAAUGGGGGGAACCCUGAUGCAGCAACGCCGCGUGGAGGAUGACGCAUUUCGGUGUGUAAACUCCUUUUAUAUGUCAAGAAAAUGACGGUAGCAUAUGAAUAAGCACCGGCUAACUCCGUGCCAGCAGCCGCGGUAAUACGGAGGGUGCAAGCGUUACUCGGAAUCACUGGGCGUAAAGGACGCGUAGGCGGGUUGGAAAGUCAGGUGUGAAAUCCUACAGCUUAACUGUAGAACUGCGCUUGAAACUUCUAAUCUAGAGUAUGGGAGGGGGAGAUGGAAUUAGUGGUGUAGGGGUAAAAUCCGUAGAUAUCACUAGGAAUACCCAAAGCGAAGGCGAUCUCCUGGAACAUUACUGACGCUAAGGCGUGAAAGCGUGGGGAGCAAACAGGAUUAGAUACCCCGGUAGUC